ACGGAAGGCAGCAGUGGGGAAUAUUGCACAAUGGGGGAAACCCUGAUGCAGCGACGCCGCGUGAGCGAAGAAGUAUUUCGGUAUGUAAAGCUCUAUCAGCAGGGAAGAAAAUGACGGUACCUGACUAAGAAGCUCCGGCUAAAUACGUGCCAGCAGCCGCGGUAAUACGUAUGGAGCAAGCGUUAUCCGGAUUUACUGGGUGUAAAGGGAGCGUAGACGGAACAGCAAGUCUGAUGUGAAAGGCAGGGGCUCAACUCCUGGACUGCAUUGGAAACUGCUGAUCUUGAGUGUCGGAGAGGUAAGCGGAAUUCCUAGUGUAGCGGUGAAAUGCGUAGAUAUUAGGAGGAACACCAGUGGCGAAGGCGGCUUACUGGACGAUAACUGACGUUGAGGCUCGAAAGCGUGGGGAGCAAACAGGAUUAGAUACCCUGGUA
rnacentral:rRNA from 1 species